rnacentral:rRNA from 1 species
GACGAACGCUGGCGGCGUGCCUAAUACAUGCAAGUUGAGCGAUGAAGAUUGGUGCUUGCCCCAAUUUGAAGAGCAGCGAACGGGUGAGUAACGCGUGGGGAAUCUGCCUUUGAGCGGGGGACAACAUUUGGAAACGAAUGCUAAUACCGCAUAAUAACUUUAAACAUAAGUUUUAAGUUUGAAAGAUGCAAUUGCAUCACUCAAAGAUGAUCCCGCGUUGUAUUAGCUAGUUGGUGAGGUAAAGGCUCACCAAGGCGAUGAUACAUAGCCGACCUGAGAGGGUGAUCGGCCACAUUGGGACUGAGACACGGCCCAAACUCCUACGGGAGGCAGCAGUAGGGAAUCUUCGGCAAUGGACGAAAGUCUGACCGAGCAACGCCGCGGGAGUGAAGAAGGUUUUCGGAUCGUAAAACCCCGUUGGUAGAGAAGAACGUUGGUGAGAGUGGAAAGCUCAUCAAGUGACGGUAACUACCCAGAAAGGGACGGCUAACUACGUG